AUGGAGAGUCUCCAUCCAGCUGGAUCACUGUCACAGGGGAACACACCACCACACCUCCACCUACAUCCACACCGACACCAGUCUCCAUUAUUACCUCUCCUCCUGAUUCAUUCUUGCUUCUCUCUGUGUUGUUGCCUGUUGGAUCAGUGUGUGUUGUGGUUCUGCUGGUGUUAGUGGUUCUAUUGGUGAGACAAAGUGUUUGUAGGAAGUCUGCAGUUGAUUUGGAAAAAGCUGAAGAUGGCCUCACAUACAGUGAUCUCAAAGAAUUACAUCACCAACAACAGUCAGUUAAACUACACACAGGGAGUGAUUCAGCUGUAGUCUACACAGCAGUGAGAACUGAAGACAUCAAUUAUGAACAAACAGAAAUGCG